AACGCACCUUGCGCUCCUUGGUAUUCCGAGGAGCAUGCCUGUUUGAGUGUCAUGAAAUUCUCAACUACCUUUUUAGCAUUUAUGUUUCAAGGGUGAAGUUGGAGUUGGAGGAUAAUUGCUGGCGCAACUUAGGUUGCUUGUUGGCUCCUCUUGAAUGGAUGAGCUUUUCUAAUGGAUCAUAGCUCUCAGUAACACUAAUGUGAUAAUUAUCUACGUUAGAUGUGAAAGCUUUUAUGAGUAGAGUGACUUCAAUUAUGGAGAAGCUCCCUAUAGAAAAGGUGUUGUCUUGGGAAGACCCCUUGACUUAUUAACAUAUAAUGACAAAUCUGACCUCAAAUCAGGUAGGACUACCCGCUGAACUUAA
rnacentral:misc_RNA from 1 species